UUGUAAUCCAGACCCAGGCAAAUGUGUAGACUUGGCACUAACCAAUAGUGGCUAAAUAGCAUCACCUGAGGCAGUCUGACCAAUCAAGACUCAGGAAGAACCUCAAAGCCACAGAGUCAGACAUGGAUCUGGCAACAUUGCCUGUGUGGACUCCUGCACCGGAUGAAUUUUAAAAACUUUUUAUUCCUAAUGGCAACAAUACAGAAGCCACAGAUCUCAAAGAGAGAAAAACAGUUCUCUGCCCAGCAUUUAUUGGCCGUCCUGAGCCCCCUGUGUGCUCUCACCUUGGAAGACACUGUGCAGUGAUGAAGAAAGGCUGUGGACUCCAGUUCUCUGUGCUGCUGCCGUUAGAUCAUUCUUUUUUCUGCUCUUUGAAUUUUGCCUCUAAA